rnacentral:tRNA from 1 species
ACACUGGUAGUUCAGUGGUAGAAUUCUCACCUAAGUGGGAGAUCCAGGUUCAAUUCCCAGCAAAUGUA